rnacentral:rRNA from 1 species
AUAAUGACUCUCGGCAACGGAUAUCUAGGCUCUUGCAUCGAUGAAGAACGUAGCGAAAUGCGAUACUUGGUGUGAAUUGCAGAAUCCCGUGAACCAUCGAGUCUUUGAACGCAAGUUGCGCCCGAAGCCAUUAGGUUAAGGGCACGUCUGCCUGGGCGUCACAU